rnacentral:rRNA from 1 species
GACGAACGCUGGCGGCGUGCUUAACACAUGCAAGUCGAACGGAAAGGCCCUGCUUUUGUGGGGUGCUCGAGUGGCGAACGGGUGAGUAACACGUGAGUAACCUGCCCUUGACUUUGGGAUAACUUCAGGAAACUGUGGCUAAUACCGGGUAGGAGCUCCUGCUGCAUGGUGGGGGUUGGAAAGUUUCGGCGGUUGGGGAUGGACUCGCGGCUUAUCAGCUUGUUGGUGGGGUAGUGGCUUACCAAGGCUUUGACGGGUAGCCGGCCUGAGAGGGUGACCGGCCACAUUGGGACUGAGAUACGGCACAGACUCCUAUGGGAGGCAGCAGUGGGGAAUAUUGCACAAUGGGCGGAAGCCUGAUGCAGCAACGCCGCGUGCGGGAUGACGGCCUUCGGGUUGUAAACCGCUUUCGCCUGUGACGAAGCGUGAGUGACGGUAAUGGGUAAAGAAGCACCGGCUAACUACGUG